AUGGCGGAGCAGAAGGGCAGCAGAGCAGAGAAGGUUCAGAGGCCAAGGAGGCCCAAGAGGCCCGGACCCUGGGCCAAGCUGAAGGACAGGUCCAGGGCAGGGGCGAGAGAUGGGGCCCAAGCCCCAAAGAGGAGGCGCCUAGGGGGCAAGGCCUUGAAGGACGCCCAGAAUUCCAAGGGUCAGCUAGCUAGCAGGCAGAGAAGAGGGCGUGGGGCCGGAGCCCCGGCAAGGGGACCAGAGUGUCGAGCAAGAAGGGCCCGGGAAGGGCUUGGGCCAAAGCGAGACCGGCGGGUCCCAAAUGCCGAACUCAGACUGGCAGAUCCCGGGGAGCCGGUGAGAGCUCCAGUGCAGCAGCGGGGAGGGACAGAAGACAUUCCACCCAGAGAGGGGGCUAGGGCCAGGGAAAGGGGGCGUGAUCGGCUCGGGAGGGGGAGCUCCCUGCCCACCUUCCUGCCCGAGCUCGCUCCACGUGGGCGGCCCCGUCAUCCCGGGGGAAGCUCAGUGGCAGCCGCGAGCUCUCGAGACCGGCCCCGAGCCAGAGCGGAGGCCGGGGAGCGGAUGGGCCGACUUCUCCUUCUCCGGGAGGGUCCCAAAGGAAGACCCAGCCCUCAUAGGGGGAGAACUGCCCACUUGGGAAUCCCAGACUCCCAAGGCCCAAAGAGAAGCUCGGCGAGGAGCGAGGGCCGGGGGGUUCCCGGGAAGCAUCCCGGGGCCCGGAAGGGCACAGGCCACAAGGGGGCCUUCCCACCCUUGGCCCAGCCUUGGAGGCUCACUGGGCUGUGCGGCUCCCCUCCCCCUGUGGCAGCCUCGCUGGAUGACUGCGGCUCAUCUCCCCUAAGAGAAGCUGGAGAUCUCUUCCCCUCCCCCCAGGGCCCCGUGGCACCGGGUGGCCCAAAGCACGUGCACGAGAGAGAGCACCGGAGACGCCCGCGCCUGGCCGACGGCCCCUCCGCUCCCGGGGCCGGGAGUGGCGGCCCGGACGCAGGAGCAAGGCCAGAAGCCCCCCAUGGCGGGGCGGGCGGGGCCGUGCUCUGCUCCUACCACUCCACGGGCACGUUUCCUUACUUAGCCAGACCUUUUUCUCCUGUCCUCCAGACAAUGGCCAGGGCCGCAGGGAGCCUGUUCAAAGCACAAAGAGCCCGGUGA
rnacentral:lncRNA from 1 species